UGGUAUGAAAAGUUUGACGAGAUAUUAACUGUUUCAUAAAAAUUUAUAAUAGAAUUUUAUUUUUUAGUCAAAAAGCUAAAAUAUAUUUAAAAGACGAGAAGACCCUAUAAAUCUUUAUAUUUAGGUUAUUAUAAUUUUAUAGAUUUUUUUUGUUAUAAUAAUUGAUAAUAUUUUAUUGGGGUGAUAUUAAAAUUUAAUAAACUUUUAAUUGUUUAAAUCAUUAAUUUAUGAAUAAUUGAUCCGUUAUUAGCGAUUAAAAAAAUAAGUUACCUUAGGGAUAACAGCG
rnacentral:rRNA from 1 species